CCUGAGAAACGGCUACCACAUCCAAGGAAGGCAGCAGGCGCGCAAAUUACCCACUCCCGGCACGGGGAGGUAGUGACGAAAAAUAACGAUACGGGACUCAUCCGAGGCCCCGUAAUCGGAAUGAGUACACUCUAAACCCUUUAACGAGGAUCAAUUGGAGGGCAAGUCUGGUGCCAGCAGCCGCGGUAAUUCCAGCUCCAAUAGCGUAUAUUAAAGUUGUUGCGGUUAAAAAGCUCGUAGUCGAAUUUGUGUCCCGCGCCGCCGGUUCAUCGUCCGCGGUGUUAACUGGCGUGCCGCGGGACGUCCUGCCGGUGGGCUUAGCUCUUCGGGGCGGCCCAACUCAAUCCCGCCGCGGUGCUCUUCACUGAGUGUCGAGGUGGGCCGGCACGUUUACUUUGAACAAAUUAGAGUGCUUAAAGCAGGCUAAAACUUCGCCUGAAUACUGUGUGCAUGGAAUAAUGGAAUAGGACCUCGGUUCUAUUUUGUUGGUUUUCGGAACCCCGAGGUAAUGAUUAAUAGGAACGGAUGGGGGCAUUCGUAUUGCGACGUUAGAGGUGAAAUNCNUGGUGAAAUUUCUUGGACCGUCGCAAGACGAACAGAAGCGAAAGCAUUUGCCAAAAACGCUUUCAUUGAUCAAGAACGAAAGUUAGAGGUUCGAAGGCGAUCAGAUACCGCCCUAGUUCUAACCAUAAACGAUGCCAGCUAGCGAUCCGCCGACGUUCCAUUAUAUGACUCGGCGGGCAGCUUCCGGGAAACCAAAGCUUUUGGGUUCCGGGGGAAGUAUGGUUGCAAAGCUGAAACUUAAAGGAAUUGACGGAAGGGCACCACCAGGAGUGGAGCCUGCGGCUUAAUUUGACUCAACACGGGAAACCUCACCAGGCCCGGACACCGGAAGGAUUGACAGAUUGAGAGCUCUUUCUUGAUUCGGUGGGUGGUGGUGCAUGGCCGUUCUUAGU
rnacentral:rRNA from 1 species